AUUGAACGCUGGCGGCAUGCCUUACACAUGCAAGUCGAACGGCAGCACGGGUGCUUGCCCCUGGUGGCGAGUGGCGAACGGGUGAGUAAUACAUCGGAACAUGUCCUGUAGUGGGGGAUAGCCCGGCGAAAGCCGGAUUAAUACCGCAUACGAUCUACGGAUGAAAGCGGGGGACCUUCGGGCCUCGCGCUAUAGGGUUGGCCGAUGGCUGAUUAGCUAGUUGGUGGGGUAAAGGCCUACUAAGGCGACGAUCAGUAGCUGGUCUGAGAGGACGACCAGCCACACUGGGACUGAGACACGGCCCAGACUCCUACGGGAGGCAGCAGUGGGGAAUUUUGGACAAUGGGCGAAAGCCUGAUCCAGCAAUGCCGCGUGUGUGAAGAAGGCCUUCGGGUUGUAAAGCACUUUUGUCCGGAAAGAAAUCCUUGGCUCUAAUACAGUCGGGGGAUGACGGUACCGGAAGAAUAAGCACCGGCUAACUACGUG
rnacentral:rRNA from 1 species